GUCGUCAUUUCCACAGCACCUAUAACUAAAACUUGAAAGACACCAAAAAGAUUAGCAUGACCCCUGCACAAGGAUUAAAUGCAAAUUCAUGAAACAUUCCAUUUGAAA
ensembl:snRNA U6 U6 spliceosomal RNA